CCUCCACUCACUUUGUAGACCAGGCUGGCCUCAAAUUCAGAGAUCCACCUGCCUCUGCCUCCUGAGUGCUGG
ensembl:miRNA Gm22860 predicted gene, 22860